AAGGCUUGACAUGUAUUGCUAAGCACGUGAAAGCGUGUGACCCUUCGGGGACCUUACACAGGUGCUGCAUGGCCGUCGUCAGCUCGUGUCGUGAGAUGUUUGGUUAAGUCCAGCAACGAGCGCAACCCCUGUGAAUAGUUGCCAGCACGUAAUGGUGGGGACUCUAUUCAGACUGCCCAGGUCAACUGGGAGGAAGGUGGGGAUGACGUCAGGUCAGUAUGGCCCUUACGCCUUGGGCUGCACACGUACUACAAUGCCCAGUACAAUGAGAACCGAGACCGCGAGGUGGAGGAAAUCUGCAAAACUGGGCCCAGUUCGGAUUGGAGGCUGCAACUCGCCUCCAUGAAGU
rnacentral:rRNA from 1 species